UACGUAGGGGGCAAGCGUUGUCCGGAAUCAUUGGGCGUAAAGCGCGUGUAGGCGGCUUGGUAAGUCCGCUCUGAAAGCCCGGGGCUCAACCCCGGGAGGCGGGUGGAUACUGCUGGGCUCGAGUCCGGAAGAGGAGUGUGGAAUUCCGUGGUGUAGCGGUGAAAUGCGCAGAUAUCAGGAGGAACACCAAUGGCGAAGGCAGCACUCUGGGACGGUACUGACGCUGAGACGCGAAAGCGUGGGGAGCGAACAGG
rnacentral:rRNA from 1 species